rnacentral:rRNA from 1 species
AAUAGAUACCCGGGUAGUCCACGCCGUAAACGAUGAGUGCUAAGUGUUAGGGGGGUUUCCGCCCCUUAGUGCUGCAGCUAACGCAUUAAGCACUCCGCCUGGGGAGUACGGUCGCAAGACUGAAACUCAAAGGAAUUGACGGGGGCCCGCACAAGCGGUGGAGCAUGUGGUUUAAUUCGAAGCAACGCGAAGAACCUUACCAGGUCUUGACAUCCCACUGACCGCUAUGGAGACAUAGUUUUCCCUUCGGGGACAGUGGUGACAGGUGGUGCAUGGUUGUCGUCAGCUCGUGUCGUGAGAUGUUGGGUUAAGUCCCGCAACGAGCGCAACCCUUGAUCUUAGUUGCCAUCAUUUAGUUGGGCACUCUAAGGUGACUGCCGGUGACAGACCGGAGGAAGGUGGGGAUGACGUCAAAUCAUCAUGCCCCUUAUGACCUGGGCUACACACGUGCUACAAUGGACGGUACAAACGGUUGCCAACCCGCGAGGGGGAGCUAAUCCGAUAAAAUCGUUCUCAGUUCGGAUUGUAGGCUGCAACUCGCCUAC